CAGCAAAUCGCUAGCAACCUCUUAGGGAAUUUAUUUAGGAAUUAUAGUAUCUUUAAGUUUCCAGUCUAUCCAAAGUUAACCUUUAAUCGAUGUAUAUACGUUUAACUUCUACUAACUCUUUUCUCGGAUAAAUUUUCCCAUUUGUUUUAUCGAGUUGUUUGUUAAACCGACAGUGACUUUAUUGUCCAGAGUGGGAACAAUAUUUUUCAUGAAUUAUGUGAUAUACAUUCUGUUGAAAGGUUAUCAUAGUAAUUACGUAACUUCUAAUAUUCAAUUAAGAUUACCAACAAAUGAAAGGGCAAGAAGAAUUGAUUCCAGACAGUAAGCUAAAAGAAUGAGUAAAAGAGAUGUCAUUCAUGAUCAAUAUUUGAUCGUACAAUUCGUAUACUAGAACAGUUAUACGAGUUAUAUAGAAGUGUAAUGAAUUAAUAAAGAAGAUUCAAGUAGUUUAUAUUUCUUUGAUCUUAUAUCGAGAAAUCUAAAGCUUUUCUUUAUUUCUAUCAUUCUUUCUUUCUUUCUUUCUUUUUUUCUUUUGUUACUUUCACUCUAACUGAUAAUCAAAAUCAUUUUCAUGGAAACAUAGACACGAUAUAUGUAGAUGCCAUUGUAAUCAUACAGAAUCUUUGGAUUACCUUCCUUCGAGGCAGCCCAUUUCCAAUAAGAAAACCAUUCUGUUUCUUUUCACCUUAUUAUUUAUCGCCUUAUGACGCAAAUCAUUUUUGUUCCGCUAUCCAUUUAAGAGCACCCUUUGGAUAUGGUACAUUUUACACAAAUGAGGAACGAGAAAACUGUGCGAACGGACAACAGGAGAAAAAUUCGAAAUGAAGUUCAUCAUGUGUGUGUAUAUAUAUAUAUAUAUAUCUUAUAUGUUCUUGUUUAAACGCAGGGUAUCCUGUAAUUGGUGGAGAGCAGGUGAUGAUUCUAUAUGAGAAACUAAAUAAAAUGUGUAGAAUAAAAUUUGUUCAUGUAAAAAUUUGUUUUGAAAUAAAAUAAGUUUGAAAAUUUGUCAAGUACUCGUGCACUUGAUUUAGUUUCAGUUCGAAGGAUUUUAUUAUCUUACUCUAAAAUAUUUUAGAGUGCUGACUUUGUGCUUCUAAACAUUAAUGCAAACAUUGUCAUUAUGAUGAUAUCUCUUGUAUCGGUUCUAUUCUUAUGCUUAUCGAACAAGGUUUUUAGUUUCUAGGUUUGCAAGCUCAGUCAUGUGUAUGCAUAUUCC